rnacentral:tRNA from 1 species
UAUAUGUUGGUGUAGAGCAUAAAAAGUUUUGAUCUUUUAGGUUUCUGGUGGGAUCCCAGUACAUAUAA